rnacentral:rRNA from 1 species
AUUGAACGCUGGCGGCAGGCUUAACACAUGCAAGUCGAGCGGAGAUGAGGUGCUUGCACCUUAUCUUAGCGGCGGACGGGUGAGUAAUGCUUAGGAAUCUGCCUAUUAGUGGGGGACAACAUUCCGAAAGGAAUGCUAAUACCGCAUACGCCCUACGGGGGAAAGCAGGGGAUCUUCGGACCUUGCGCCAAUAGAUGAGCCUAAGUCGGAUUAGGUAGUUGGUGGGGUAAAGGCCUACCAAGGCGACGAUCUGUAGCGGGUCUGAGAGGAUGAUCCGCCACACUGGGACUGGAACACGGCCCAGACUCCUCCGGGAGGCGGCAGUGGGGAAUAUUGGACAAUGGGCGGAAUCCUGAUCCAGCCAUGCCGCGUGUGUGAAGAAGGCCUUUUGGUUGUAAAGCACUUUAGGCGAGGAGGAGGCUACCUGGAUUAAUACUCUAGGAUAGUGGACGUUACUCGCAGAAUAAGCACCGGCUAACUCUGUGCCAGCCGCCGCAGUAAGAC